rnacentral:rRNA from 1 species
UACAGAGGUCUCAAGCGUUGUUCGGAUUCAUUGGGCGUAAAGGGUGCGUAGGCGGUUCGGUAAGUCGGGUGUGAAAACUCUGGGCUCAACUCAGAGAUGCCACCCGAUACUGCCGUGUCUUGAGUCCGGUAGGGGAGCACGGAAUUCCUGGUGUAGCGGUGAAAUGCGCAGAUAUCAGGAGGAACACCGGUGGCGAAGGCGGUGCUCUGGGCCGGUACUGACGCUGAGGAGCGAAAGCGUGGGUAGCAAACAGG